rnacentral:rRNA from 1 species
AGGGUUUGAUCAUGGCUCAGGAUGAACGCUGGCGGCGUGCUUAACACAUGCAAGUCGAACGAACCUUCGGGUUAGUGGCGGACGGGUGAGUAACGCGUGAGAAUCUGCCCUCAGGAGGGGGAUAACGGUUGGAAACGACCGCUAAUACCCCAUAUGCCUACUGGUGAAAUGAAUUUCGCCUGAGGAUGAGCUCGCGUCUGAUUAGCUAGUUGGUGAGGUAAUGGCUCACCAAGGCUUCGAUCAGUAGCUGGUCUGAGAGGAUGAUCAGCCACACUGGGACUGAGACACGGCCCAGACUCCUACGGGAGGCAGCAGUGGGGAAUUUUCCGCAAUGGGCGAAAGCCUGACGGAGCAACGCCGCGUGAGGGACGAAGGCCUCUGGGCUGUAAACCUCUUUUCUCAAGGAAGAAGAUAUGACGGUACUUGAGGAAUAAGCCACGGCUAAUUCCGUGCCAGCAGCCGCGGUAAUACGGGAGUGGCAAGCGUUAUCCGGAAUUAUUGGGCGUAAAGCGUCCGCAGGCGGCUUUUCAAGUCUGCUGUUAAAGCGUGGAGCUUAACUCCAUCAUGGCAGUGGAAACUGAAAGGCUUGAGUAUGGUAGGGGCAGAGGGAAUUCCCGGUGUAGCGGUGAAAUGCGUAGAUAUCGGGAAGAACACCAGUGGCGAAGGCGCUCUGCUGGGCCAUUACUGACGCUCAUGGACGAAAGCCAGGGGAGCGAAAGGGAUUAGAUACCCCUGUAGUCCUGGCCGUAAACGAUGAACA